CGCUUUAUUUUGUUGAAGGUUUUGAGGAUUUUUUAUUUUAAAAAAUCUUCAAAAUCUUCAAUAAAAUAAAGCGC